rnacentral:rRNA from 1 species
GGAUUAGAUAGUUGGUGGGGUAAUGGCCUACCAAGUCUACGAUCUAUAGCUGGUUUUAGAGGAUGAUCAGCAACACUGGGACUGAGAUACGGCCCAGACUCCUACGGGAGGCAGCAGUGGGGAAUCUUAGACAAUGGGCGCAAGCCUGAUCUAGCCAUGCCGCGUGUGUGAUGAAGGUCUUAGGAUCGUAAAGCACUUUCGCCAGGGAUGAUAAUGACAGUACCUGGUAAAGAAACCCCGGCUAACUCCGUGCCAGCAGCCGCGGUAAUACGGAGGGGGUUAGCGUUGUUCGGAAUUACUGGGCGUAAAGCGUACGUAGGCGGAUCAGAAAGUAUAGGGUGAAAUCCCAGGGCUCAACCCUGGAACUGCCUUGUAAACUCCUGGUCUUGAGUUCGAGAGANGUGAGUGGAAUUCCAAGUGUAGAGGUGAAAUUCGUAGAUAUUUGGAGGAACACCAGUGGCGAA